rnacentral:lncRNA from 1 species
UGAAAAAUGCCUGAGUUGGAGUUAGCUAAAUGGAGGUGUGGUUGAGUGAGAGGGGCCAUGAUUAGCAAAAGAAAGAGCUUGAGCCAAGAGGUGAAAGCAAGAAAGUGUAUCCUGAAGGACAUAGAAGGGACAAGAGGCAGGAAGGCUUUCUCUGGUAUCCUAAAGAGUUUGGGCUUGACCCUGGAUGGAGAACUGCUAGGAGAAUUUGGGUAAGGCAAAGACACAACUAUUACAUUUUAGAAAAAAAUGAUACCACUGGCAAUACAGAAAAUGUAUCAAAGUUGAAGCCACUGGGUACAUCAUGGUUCAAGUCGCUGAGAAUGAGAACUGAUAGAGACCUAAGGGGGUGGCAAGUAGAGGGGAAUUCAUGAUGAACUCAGUUUGGAAUAUGUUGAAUUCACAUAUUCAGAGAAAUGUUUAGGGUAGUGGGGAAGACAAGAUUUGGGCAUAAGAGAGAGAAGAAAAAUUUGAGAGGUUGAGAUUGUGCAGUGCUUUAUCAUAGCAUGUAUGAUCUCUUGACACAUUCUUUAUUUCAUGUCUUCCCUGACUAGAAAUAAACUUCACGAGGGUGAGAACUUUGCUUUAUUUCCACCAUCUAGAACUGUGCCUGAACCACAGGGAGCACUCAGGAAAAAUUUACUGAAAAGAUGAAUUAUUCAGAAUUGUAGUUGAAAAGGUGUCUUCAGAGGAGUUUACUUACAUGCAGUGGACAUGAAAUAGGGCAUAGAGUGAAACCGUAGGCAAAACAUUGGGUGGAUAAUGUCAUUUGAUGCCAAAAAAGAAGCACUGAGGAAUUAGGAAAAACAAGAGAUAAUGAGGUCCCAGGUGACAAUGGAAGCAGUUGUGGAAAACUGCUUUAAAUGUCAUAGAGCACUCAGAAGGAAUUCAUAAAUGACCUCAUAAAGAAGUCCACUGUGGUUUCCCUGCAGAGGUGGGAAUAGAAUCAGAGUGCUAAGGAUUGAGGGAUUAAGAGGAGGUGAUUGUAUUAUUCCUCUUUUCAGAUAAUGGAGAGAGAGAAGAGAACAGCAGUAGCCGUUGCCAGAAAUAUUGAGCAAGGCGGAUUUAUUAGAUGAAGAUAUCAAAAUACUUUCCAUUGAGGAAACAGGUUGGAGGUGGGAGGCUGUAACCAUGCUUGAUUUUGUACCACCCUAACCUUUGCUUGAUCCAGGUUCCAGUCCAAUAUGCACCAUUCAGCCUGGUUGCAGCAUGUUAAGCAGCCCUGGAGGCAGCAGUUGUUGGUGGCAUAUAUAAUGAGUGCUGGGUGUUAAGGAAGCAAUGGUGAAGGAGAGACACCCUCCCGACCCUCAUGGUGCUUGCAGCCUAGUGGAGCUAUGAAAAGAUAGGCAAGUGAGUCCUAUGAUUGGAGAAGUAAUGAGAAGUAAUGAGAAGCGUCUUCUAAGCAUAGGGGUAAAGACUGCAAAGACCCUGAAGGGAGAAAGUAAUGGCCAUUCUGAGAACUGAAAGUUUGCACAGUGCACAGAGGGCAUGAAGAACGAAGGAAAGAGAUUUUUUUUUUUUUUUUUUUGCCCAAGAUGGCAAGUUGCUUAAAACCUAAAGCUCCUUUCAAUUCUUUACAAUCCAAGAUUAUAUGGAAUGGACUGGGAACAAAGAGAGGGACUGGCAUUUAAAGUCUUUUAUACACUUUGGAACAAAUGUUAUUCUCCAUUCAUCCUGACACUAAAUUGGUUAGCCAAACCCAAAGAUCUACUAAUAAUCCUGCUUUGGCAUGGGAGAAUGAGUGAGAUAAGGAGGCAAUAGAGGAGAUGAAUCGACAAAUGGAAGGAAUAGAAUUCUGGUUGAUGUCCUUGUCUCUAAGCUGUAGCAGCAAGUAUUUAUCCUAAUCAUGUGGUGUUAGCACGGAGAUGAGAAAGAGAGAAAGACAACAUCAUGCUUUGCUGUCUGUGUGUGAACUGAGUAACAGCUGUGAAGGAUCAGUCACCAAAAGACUUUGAAAGAAGAGGCUUGAUUGGUCACGGUAAUGAUGCUCCCCUGGCCAUGGAAGUUUAAUUGGGAGAAAAGAACAUCUGCUUAUACGAAAACAUAUUAUAUUCAGCCAUCCCUGCCCUGACUUUGGCCUUUAAAAACAGUGGCAUUAAUUAUCUCAACAAAUGAAUCUUCGGGAUAAAAAUAAUCUAAAUAUUAUUUUACGCUUACUACAUAUUUGCAACGUGCUAAGCUCUUUAUGGUUGCUACCACAAAAAACAUUUAUAAUAUGAGGUGGGUAUUUUUAUUAUAUACAUUUUCAGUUUAAAGACAGUAACUUCAGAAUGUAACUUGUCCUAGUCACACAAAAGCAGGUGUGGACUAAAACUCAAACCCAUGAUUCUUUCACUUUAAAUGAUAUGGUUCUGAACCAUUAAAUUCGAAUGCUACUAAGAAUGGUGAAUGCUAAGCAAUGUUAAGCUACACAUUGUUAUUAUUAACAAAUAAUUUCAAAAGGGCAGGAGAGGUAGGUUAAAAAUUAAAGGGUUAAGCUGGAAUAACAUGUCAAAUUUCUCAGAGUUUUUUAUUUUCAUGAAAAAAUAUAUUUUAUAUUGCAACAGAAUGAACUUGACUUAACAGUUUAGGUAGCUGAUUGCAUAUAUUUUGAUAGUCCUAUCAUAUUUCCAACAAAUACAUUUUCUCCCCACCCCACCUGCAACUGGAGACUUCACAAGGUUAGGAACAGGCUUCACUUCAUUGUGAUGUGUGUAAGGUGACAGAGGACAUAUAACGAAUACGUGGAAGAACUAGGAAUUUGACCUUAGCUUCCAGACAUUUUGAGGAGGAUACACUAUGUCCAUCUUGCUUUCCUAUCAAGAAAAGUAUACCCAGUUUGUGCAGUAGCCCUGUACCAACAGAUACAUUACAGCAGGUUGUUUCCGUAUUUUGGCUAUUGUGAAUAGUGCUGCAAUAAACAUGGAAGUGCUGAUAUAUCUUUGAGAUCUUGACUUCAAACAAAAGAAGAAAAUCUUGCAAUAUAUGACAACACGGAUUAACCUGGAGGACAUUGUGCUUAGUGAAGUUAGCCAGUCACAGACUGACAAGUACUGCACGAUUCCACUUAUGAAGACUACAGUUCCUAUCUUCACAGGUGGCUGUUAGCUCUAAAUGAACUCAUUUAUUUUGAAAGCAUGAUUUAAAGUAUAGUUUUAAACUAUAAGCAUUUCAGAAGUGAUGACCCAUGACUCAAAUCUCAAAAAUAAAUGCUACAGUUCACAGUUGGAAUAUGGACACAAGAAAAAUAAUAGGUGAGUAAAAAAAGAAUUUUUACCACAGAACAAAAGUUUAUUAAACACAAUUAUGAAUGAAUAUUAAUGUCAACAGAGUGCUUUUUAGAUGCCUCCUAAGCUUUGUAUGCACCUAAAAGAGAUACAAGUCAGCUCAGCUGCUAAGGAAUAGGCAGACCAGAAUGCAGUCAGAGAAAUAAACAGUUGAACAGAUAAUUCCAAAAGGAUGUGAUAAGUGUUAUGGGGGGAAUUCGGAGAAAGUGCCGAGGCAUCACACAGGAGAGACCAGCUGUCCCUGGCAUAGCUGGUGGAGAUCUUAUUAAACAACGAUACUAAGGCUGACUCUUGACUAUGAAACGAAUUUCACAGAGAAACAAGCAAAAAAGCAAUAGAAAUAUUAAUUUGUGUACCCUAUUUCAUGACAAUUAUAUACAAAAACAGAACGUUCAAAGCCUUAGGCAAUAAAACUGAUAUUUCUUGCAACAGGCUUUGGCCAAAAAAGAGUGCAGUUCUGUGAUGAAUAUCAGCUUCAUCAACAUGCCCCAGGCACCGUGAUGUCCCUCCUCUGCUCUGCUGCAUAACAGGGUGGAGACCAAAUCCAACAGUAUGAACAAGCAUCCAUCAAAACCACAGUUCUAUUAUUGAGACCAUUUCUGAUUGAAUUUCCUCAGCAGACUAUCCAAGUCGUCAUGUUCAUCAAGGUAUUCAAUUUAAAUGACCAUUAAAACGAAAUUAAGUUGGUAUUAACCUUGUCUUUUCAGAUGAUGCCACUGAAAGGUAAACAUACCAUUCUGACAUGCAUGAAAAUGAAACGACAAAUUGAUACACGCAGUGCUUGGAAUGGAUGGAGUCCUUCUAAUGAGUGAUUACCUGUGGUAUAACUAUAUUGAUUGUGUUUGUACAUGUCAAAUGGGGCUGGCGAGGAUGAACUUGAAGAAAUCAAUCUUGGAACCUGCUAGGACAGCAGCCUCCUGGUUUCACAGUACUAAAUCAUGACUUCAAAAUUUUGAAGUAAAAGAAAACUGCAAAACUUUGUAAAGGUACCAGUCUCUUCCUGACACUAUUUGCCUUGGCAAAAGAUUCACUGUCAACUUAAAAGACUAACAUGUGCUCAGAUGAUGAUUUGUGGAGGACAGAUAAUUAUGAGUACAUUUAGAAAUACACACUCUUCCAAACCCUGCUCUUUCCAUAUAAUGAAGUUAUUUAUUUCUAUUUUUUAUUUAUUUUUCUAAUAAUUACAAACAUACUUUGGAGACCCACAUUCCUGUAUUAUUCUUUCAACAUACUGAAGAAGAGUUAUUUCUAUGCUUCUUUCUAUGUGUUGGGCUUAAGAUUUAUUAGAAGGAAUGUGUAAAAACAAAGGCAGCAAAGUUUCUAUUUUUAUUGGGAGUCACUCCCGGAGUAAGUGGGGAUAGUUGUGCACACACACACACACACAUUCAUGCACAAAGAAAGAGUGAUCAAGUGUAUAACACACUUUUAGCAGUGUUUUGCUGGAAGAAUAAAGUAUAACUCCUUGUCCGCCCUUUUAUUAUACUGGGGUUCACACUAAGAGAGUCUGAGGACCUGUGGAACUCCCAUUUGCAUGAAAUAACUUUUGCAUCUAUUCUGGAGGAAAACUUCCUAAGGCAGAUUUGGACAGAAAAUUGCUAUCAGCGCAAAUAAAACAAUGCAAAGCCUACUCCGGGGAACGUUGCUCUGCCACCACUACUGAAAUGGGUCAUCCCCUUGGUUUCUGAAUAAAGAAUUAUGAAACCUGGGGCUAGAAUGCUCAGGGAGGAAUUUACCAAUCCAAAUCUUCCCCUUAUGGUAGAGAACAAACUUUCAAGGUUUGUUCUCCACUGUAAGUGUGCGAGGGCUGUUAGGGACCGUAAUAUGGCUGCCGGAGACUGGUGUGUGUACCUCCUUGACUGUACGUCUCAUUUCCAGUUAUGAUUUUACAAUCAUCUCUUUCUCAACCUUUGCUUUUAAAUAUAGGAAGGUACGGCUCACCAUGGAGCGGACAUUUUCUUCAGGAGCGGUACGGUGUCUAAGAUAUGCAGAGGUUGUAUUCUAGUCCUAUAACUCAAUUCUCAAACACAUGGCUUUUAGCCAGGGAUAUCCUAAAGGAAAAUUACACUAUAUGCAACCCCUCCUUACUCCUCAAAUAUUAUCUAUAUUAAACACAGCUGAAAUUUGAGAGUGUCCUUACAGGUGAAAAUUUAACAAUUUAACAAAAGGACACUGCUGAAUGUGUGGGGACAAAGGAAGGAUGAAUCUUUCAUCAUGACAAAAGACUACUUGCCACAUUCUCCCUUAACUUAGAAAAACAGAAAAGAGGCUGGGCGUGGUGGCUCCUGCCUGUAACCUCAGCACUUUGGGAG